rnacentral:rRNA from 1 species
AACGAACGUUAGCGGCGCGCUUAACACAUGCAAGUCGAACGAGAAAGGGCUUCGGCCCCGGUACAGUGGCGCACGGGUGAGUAACACGUAGGUAACCUGCCCUUGAGUGGUGGAUAACAUUCCGAAAGGAGUGCUAAUACAGCAUAAGACCACGGUUCCAUCAAGGAACAGGGGUCAAAGCGGGCCUCUUCAUGAAAGCUCGCGCUUGGGGAUGGGCCUGCGGCGCAUCAGCUAGUUGGUGAGGUAAUGGCUCACCAAGGCUAAGACGCGUAGCUGGUCUGAGAGGAUGAUCAGCCACACUGGAACUGAGACACGGUCCAGACUCCUACGGGAGGCAGCAGUGGGGAAUAUUGCACAAUGGGCGAAAGCCUGAUGCAGCGACGCCGCGUGAGGGAUGACGGCCUCGGUUGUAACCGUACUUUCUAGUCAGGAAGGAAGACGAAAGUAGACGGUACCGUCGCACGAAGAAGACACCGGCGUAACUACGU